UACAGAGGGGGCGAGCGUUGUUCGGAAUUACUGGGCGUAAAGGGCGCGUAGGCGGCCUUCUAAGUCGAACGUGAAAUCCCUGGGCUCAACCCGGGAACUGCGUCCGAUACUGGGAGGCUUGAAUCCGGGAGAGGGAUGUGGAAUUCCAGGUGUAGCGGUGAAAUGCGUAGAUAUCUGGAGGAACACCGGUGGCGAAGGCGGCAUCCUGGACCGGUAUUGACGCUGAGGCGCGAAAGCCAGGGGAGCAAACGGG
rnacentral:rRNA from 1 species